UCAGCCGGAUGGUAGGCGGGACCUGCCAUUCUGUGGGAGCCAAUCAGUAUCGACCAACGUGGGCGCAACCAAUCAGAUAUAACUGCACCCAAACGCUUCAGUAAUGGUUGCGAUUGAUCAAACGUUGCCAGAUACUGUCCUGUUGAAAAUUCUUCUUUACGUGAUCCUGGAAGGAGGGGUGAUGCUACAUUACUAAGUCCGUCUUUGGUUUGUUCCAAAUUCAGAAGUCUGCUGUACUGUAUACAGACUCCUUUCGAAAGAGGGCACAAUCCAGCUGGCUUGACUGAGUAUCUUCUUUUACAGAUUUGAUUAGAGGUUUAAAAAGGUGGAACAAAAUGGAGAACAAGUCUAAGCCAUGUCAGGAAUUCAACAAAAUGUACACCCUGCAGACACUGCGACGAGGUUUACAACAACUGCUUACCAGGUCACUGCAGUCACCCGGAUCCAGUACGUAUCCAGACCAGAUGGUGGAUCGCACCUAGAAAGGACCUCUACAUCCCUGAAAGACAGCGAAGACCAGGACAACUAGAGCCCCAGAUACAGAUCCCCUGUAAAGACCUUGUUUUUUUUCUCCAUUUUGUCACCUGUGGAGUUUUGGUUCCUUGUCGCCUCUGGCUUGCUUCGUUGUGGUCACUUCAUUUACAGUGAUAUCAUUGACAUGAUUGCAAAUGAUUCCACAGAUACUGUUUAAACUGAACCGAGCUCAAGGAUGACAUCACUGAACUGAAUGAUAAACUGCCUUUUAAACUGACUACAAACUGAGUUUACUAAUGUCCUUCUGCAUUAUUGACUGACACACUAUUUUCCUAUUUAAUACUGUAAAGUUGCUUUGCUUUGAGCUGUAUUAAUUAAAGCACUAUAUAAAUAAACGAUGCUUGACUUGACCAUGUUGCAAGAGGAAAAUGAGGGGAGAUGCACAUCCACCCUGGGUUUUACAGUGAUUGGUGCAAGAUGCUGGAGAAGUAACUCUGUAUACCUCAUCAGUUCUGAUCUAAGAGUCUUGAAAAUACCUCCGGAUUGUUGUUAGUGAUUCUGAUUUGAUAUUUUAGUCUGCUUGCUUACUGGAUAUAUUUUAUACGGUUUACAUUGUAAAGCACUGACUUUGACAACUUACUAACCCAGUUACAAAUUUAACAGCUACUUUAUACUAUAUAUAUAUAUAUAUAUAUAUAUAUAUAUAUAGUUGUUUCUUGAAAUACUACAAAUAUAACCGCAAAUUAUGAUUUUAAAUAAAGGUCUCUGAGAGACUUCUCUCUUUUCAGUCAUUUGUGUAUAUAGCCUAUAAUAAAUAUACAACAUACACCCAGUAAGUGCCACUCUCGUAUAUAAAUAUAAAUUGUUUUAUUUCACACAAACAAUGAUACAUGCAUAAACAUUCAGCUGGAAAUUAACGUUUAGCAAAAUGAUCUUAUUUCUUUGUUUAUAUUUGAUCAAUAUUUUAAAUUAAAUAAUAUACAAUACUGACCUUUAUACUUAUUUAAAAAAGUAUUAAACAUAAUCAUAAGUGUAUAUAAUUAUUUAUUUGUCUUGUUGCCGCCGGCAGCCUCCUCCAAUUUCCGGGUAUUAGCGACAGCUGCCAUCCGGUUUUGUUGGCAGCCACUUCCUGCUGCCAGUGACAGCCACUUCCUGCUGACAGCUGCCGAUUUUUCGCUGAACCCCCUCUC